rnacentral:rRNA from 1 species
CGAGCCUACGGGACGCAGCAGUGGGGAAUAUUGGGCAAUGGGCGCAAGCCUGACCCAGCAACGCCGCGUGAAGGAAGAAGGCCCUCGGGCUGUAAACUUCUUUUAUCAAGGACGAAACAAAUGACGGUACUUGAUGAAUAAGCCACGGCUAACUACGUGCCAGCAGCCGCGGUAAUACGCAGGUGGCAAGCGUUAUCCGGAUUUACUGGGUGUAAAGGGCGUGUAGGCGGGACUGCAAGUCAGAUGUGAAAACCAUGGGCUCAACCCAAGGCCUGCAUUUGAAACUGUAGUUCUU